rnacentral:rRNA from 1 species
GACGAACCGAGCGAACGUUGUUCGGAAUUACUGGGCGUAAAGCGUGCGCAGGCGGUUUUGUAAGCCAGAUGUGAAAUCCCCGGGCUUAACCUGGGAAUGGCAUUUGGGACUGCAAGGCUGGAGUUUGGCAGAGGAGACUGGAAUUCCUGGUGUAGCAGUGAAAUGCGUAGAUAUCAGGAGGAAUACCGAUGGCGAAGGCAGGUCUCUGGGCUAUAACUGACGCUCAUGCACGAAAGCGUGGGGAGCAAACAGG